rnacentral:rRNA from 1 species
GGUUAAGCGACUAAGCGUACACGGUGGAUGCCCUGGCAGUCAGAGGCGAUGAAGGACGUGCUAAUCUGCGAAAAGCGCCGGCGAGGUGAUAUGAACCUUUGACCCGGCGAUGUCCGAAUGGGGAAACCCAGUGUGAUUCGUCACACUAUCGUUAACUGAAUACAUAGGUUAACGAGGCGAACCGGGGGAACUGAAACAUCUAAGUACCCCGAGGAAAAGAAAUCAACCGAGAUUCCCCCAGUAGCGGCGAGCGAACGGGGAGCAGCCCAGAGUCUGAAUCAGCUUGUGUGUUAGUGGAAGCGUCUGGAAAGUCGCACGGUACAGGGUGACAGUCCCGUACACGAAAAUGCACAGGUUGUGAACUCGAAGAGUAGGGCGGGACACGUGGUAUCCUGUCUGAAUAUGGGGGGACCAUCCUCCAAGGCUAAAUACUCCUGACUGACCGAUAGUGAACCAGUACCGUGAGGGAAAGGCGAAAAGAACCCCGGCGAGGGGAGUGAAAAAGAACCUGAAACCGUGUACGUACAAGCAGUGGGAGCACCUUCGUGGUGUGACUGCGUACCUUUUGUAUAAUGGGUCAGCGACUUAUAUUCUGUAGCAAGGUUAACCGUAUAGGGGAGCCGAAGGGAAACCGAGUCUUAACUGGGCGUUAAGUUGCAGGGUAUAGACCCGAAACCCGGUGAUCUAGCCAUGGGCAGGUUGAAGGUUGGGUAACACUAACUGGAGGACCGAACCGACUAAUGUUGAAAAAUUAGCGGAUGACUUGUGGCUGGGGGUGAAAGGCCAAUCAAACCGGGAGAUAGCUGGUUCUCCCCGAAAGCUAUUUAGGUAGCGCCUCGUGAACUCAUCUUCGGGGGUAGAGCACUGUUUCGGCUAGGGGGCCAUCCCGGCUUACCAACCCGAUGCAAACUACGAAUACCGAAGAAUGUUAUCACGGGAGACACACGGCGGGUGCUAACGUCCGUCGUGAAGAGGGAAACAACCCAGACCGCCAGCUAAGGUCCCAAAGUCAUGGUUAAGUGGGAAACGAUGUGGGAAGGCACAGACAGCCAGGAUGUUGGCUUAGAAGCAGCCAUCAUUUAAAGAAAGCGUAAUAGCUCACUGGUCGAGUCGGCCUGCGCGGAAGAUGUAACGGGGCUAAACCAUGCACCGAAGCUGCGGCAGCGACACUAUGUGUUGUUGGGUAGGGGAGCGUUCUGUAAGCCGUUGAAGGUGUGCUGUGAGGCAUGCUGGAGGUAUCAGAAGUGCGAAUGCUGACAUAAGUAACGAUAAAGCGGGUGAAAAGCCCGCUCGCCGGAAGACCAAGGGUUCCUGUCCAACGUUAAUCGGGGCAGGGUGAGUCGACCCCUAAGGCGAGGCCGAAAGGCGUAGUCGAUGGGAAACAGGUUAAUAUUCCUGUACUUGGUGUUACUGCGAAGGGGGGACGGAGAAGGCUAUGUUAGCCGGGCGACGGUUGUCCCGGUUUAAGCAUGUAGGCGGAACGAUUAGGUAAAUCCGGUCGUUUAUUAACGCUGAGGUGUGAUGACGAGGCACUACGGUGCUGAAGUAACAAAUGCCCUGCUUCCAGGAAAAGCCUCUAAGCAUCAGGUAACAUCAAAUCGUACCCCAAACCGACACAGGUGGUCAGGUAGAGAAUACCAAGGCGCUUGAGAGAACUCGGGUGAAGGAACUAGGCAAAAUGGUGCCGUAACUUCGGGAGAAGGCACGCUGAUAUGUAGGUGAAGCCCCUGCGGGUGGAGCUGAAAUCAGUCGAAGAUACCAGCUGGCUGCAACUGUUUAUUAAAAACACAGCACUGUGCAAACACGAAAGUGGACGUAUACGGUGUGACGCCUGCCCGGUGCCGGAAGGUUAAUUGAUGGGGUUAGCGGCAACGCGAAGCUCUUGAUCGAAGCCCCGGUAAACGGCGGCCGUAACUAUAACGGUCCUAAGGUAGCGAAAUUCCUUGUCGGGUAAGUUCCGACCUGCACGAAUGGCGUAAUGAUGGCCAGGCUGUCUCCACCCGAGACUCAGUGAAAUUGAACUCGCUGUGAAGAUGCAGUGUACCCGCGGCAAGACGGAAAGACCCCGUGAACCUUUACUAUAGCUUGACACUGAACACUGGUCCUUGAUGUGUAGGAUAGGUGGGAGGCUUUGAAGUGUGGACGCCAGUCUGCAUGGAGCCGUCCUUGAAAUACCACCCUUUAAUGGCUGGUGUUCUAACGUAGACCCGUAAUCCGGGUUGCGGACAGUGUCUGGUGGGUAGUUUGACUGGGGCGGUCUCCUCCCAAAGAGUAACGGAGGAGCACGAAGGUUAGCUAAUCCUGGUCGGACAUCAGGAGGUUAGUGCAAUGGCAUAAGCUAGCUUGACUGCGAGAGUGACGGCUCGAGCAGGUGCGAAAGCAGGUCAUAGUGAUCCGGUGGUUCUGAAUGGAAGGGCCAUCGCUCAACGGAUAAAAGGUACUCCGGGGAUAACAGGCUGAUACCGCCCAAGAGUUCAUAUCGACGGCGGUGUUUGGCACCUCGAUGUCGGCUCAUCACAUCCUGGGGCUGAAGUAGGUCCCAAGGGUAUGGCUGUUCGCCAUUUAAAGUGGUACGCGAGCUGGGUUUAGAACGUCGUGAGACAGUUCGGUCCCUAUCUGCCGUGGGCGCUGGAGAAUUGAGGGGGGCUGCUCCUAGUACGAGAGGACCGGAGUGGACGCAUCACUGGUGUUCGGGUUGUCAUGCCAAUGGCACUGCCCGGUAGCUAAAUGCGGAAAAGAUAAGUGCUGAAAGCAUCUAAGCACGAAACUUGCCCCGAGAUGAGUUCUCCCUGAGACUUUAAGUCUCCUGAAGGAACGUUGAAGACGACGACGUUGAUAGGUCGGGUGUGUAAGCGCAGCGAUGCGUUGAGCUAACCGAUACUAAUGAACCGUGAGGCUUAACCUU